GUCUACGUGGUUAAGUCGGGAGAACAUCCGCCUAUGGUGCUGUAGAACUCGGGUUCGAGCCCCUGUGAAGGCA